GGUUCCAUAGUUCAGUUGGUUAGAAUGCUGCAUUGUCAAUGCAGAGGUCAGGGGUUCAAGUCCCCUUCGGACCGCCA
rnacentral:tRNA from 1 species